rnacentral:rRNA from 1 species
AACGAACGCUGGCGGCAUGCCUAACACAUGCAAGUCGAACGAGACCUUCGGGUCUAGUGGCGCACGGGUGCGUAACGCGUGGGAAUCUGCCCUUAGGUACGGAAUAACUCAGGGAAACUUGAGCUAAUACCGGAUACGUCCGCGAGGAGAAAGAUUCAUCGCCGGAGGAUUGGCCCGCGUCUGAUUAGCUUGUUGGUGAGGUAACGGCUCACCAAGGCGACGAUCAGUAGCUGGUCUGAGAGGAUGAUCAGCCACAUUGGGACUGAGACACGGCCCAAACUCCUACGGGAGGCAGCAGUGGGGAAUAUUGGACAAUGGGGGAAACCCUGAUCCAGCAAUGCCGCGUGAGUGAUGAAGGCCUUAGGGUUGUAAAGCUCUUUUCGGCGGGGACGAUGAUGACGGUACCCGCAGAAGAAGCCCCGGCUAACUUCGUGCCAGCAGCCGCCGUAAC